AAAUUGAAGAGUUUGAUCAUGGCUCAGAUUGAACGCUGGCGGCAGGCCUAACACAUGCAAGUCGAACGGUAACAGAAAGCAGCUUGCUGCUUUGCUGACGAGUGGCGGACGGGUGAGUAAUGUCUGGGAAACUGCCUGAUGGAGGGGGAUAACUACUGGAAACGGUAGCUAAUACCGCAUAACGUCGCAAGACCAAAGAGGGGGACCUUCGGGCCUCUUGCCAUCGGAUGUGCCCAGAUGGGAUUAGCUAGUA
rnacentral:rRNA from 1 species